rnacentral:lncRNA from 1 species
UUGAGGAUGAUAGUGUUAUUUUGAUGAUUAACAAGCAAUUAUCUAGAGUAUGCUAUAAGUUAAAUUGAUACUUCAUUUAUAAGUUCAUUACUCUCAGUAUAUUUGGUUAAUUGAAAAUAGAUACAUGACCUUGUUCAUUUGAAUGAAUCUAACCUUGAGAAUGCAGCAAAGUGUGGUUUGAGUCGACCCAUAGGUUGAUUGGGUCGACCCCGGCACA